CUGGAACGCGCCCCAGGCGCACCCAGAAACCCUUUGUGAACUUAUACCUUACUGUUGCCUCGGCGCAUGCCGGCCCCCCUGGGGGCCCCUCCUUCGGGAGGAGCAGGCACGCCGGCGGCCAACCCAACUCUUGUUUAUACACUGAAACUCUGAGAAUAAAACAUAAAUGAAUCAAAACUUUCAACAACGGAUCUCUUGGUUCUGGCAUCGAUGAAGAACGCAGCGAAAUGCGAUAAGUAAUGUGAAUUGCAGAAUUCAGUGAAUCAUCGAAUCUUUGAACGCACAUUGCGCCCUCUGGUAUUCCGGAGGGCAUGCCUGUUCGAGCGUCAUUUCAACCCUCAAGCCUGGCUUGGUGAUGGGGCACUGCUUUUACCCAAGGGCAGGCCCUGAAAUUCAGUGGCGAGCUCGCCAGGACCCCGAGCGCAGUAGUUAAACCCUCGCUCUGGAAGGCCCUGGCGGUGCCCUGCCGUUAAACCCCCAACUUCUGAAAAU
rnacentral:rRNA from 1 species